CAGUAGCCGCGGGAAUACGAAGGGGGCUAGCGUUGCUCGGAAUGACUGGGCGUAAAGGGCGCGUAGGCGGCGAUCAAAGUCAGGCGUGAAAUUCCUGGGCUCAACCUGGGGGCUGCGUUUGAUACUUGAUUGCUAGAGUGGGGAAGAGGGUCGUGGAAUUCCCAGUGUAGAGGUGAAAUUCGUAGAUAUUGGGAAGAACACCGGUGGCGAAGGCGGCGACCUGGUCCUUGACUGACGCUGAGGUGCGAAAGCGUGGGGAGCAAACAGGAUUAGAGACCCGCGUAGUCCCUGUCUCUUAUAC
rnacentral:rRNA from 1 species